AUGCCGCCACUUCGAUCCGACGCGCCAUUUUGCUCCGACAAGUGUCCCAAUCCAGCCCGAUGCGUCUCGCAAACGUCCCUGCCAGCGCCAAAAAAUCUCCUAUCCGUUUCCCGGCUGCCGCGCCACUCCCGCACCCCAAGACCAAUGCCGCCGACGGCAGCAGCGGCAGCCGCCCUCCCUUCCCCCUCGCCGCACCGCCACCGCGGCCCCGCCGCAAGCGCAAAGUCCAUCUGGCUAAACCCCAACCUCCCGAGCUCCCACCCCCUCCACCGCCACAAAUCCGCGGAGCUCCAGCGCCAGGACCACGCCCCCGACAUCGCCGCCCUCGUGGCGGCGCUCUCCGCCGCGCGCGCGGCCCCGGACCUGGCCGCCGCGCUCUCGUCGCACCGCCCCGUCUCCCCGCGCCUCCUCUGCACGCUCCUCUCCCGCCUCCCGGACCCGCGCCGCGGCGUCGCGCUGCUCGACCUCCUCGCGCCCGACCUCCCCUCGUCGGCGCUCCUCGUCCCCUACAACCUCCUGCUCCGCGCCGCCUCCCGCGCCGGCCAGCUCCGCCUCGCGUCCGGCCUCCUCCUCGAGAUGCGCGAGAGGGGCGUCGCGGCCGACGGCUUCUCCUACUCCACGCUCCUCGCCGCGCUCACCCGCGCGGGCCACCUCGACCACGCGCUCACCUUCCUCCCGCUCAUGGAGGCCGACGCCGUGGCGCCGGACCUUGUGCUCUUCUCCAACCUCAUCCACCUCGCCCUCCGCGCCGGCGACGCGCCCAAGGCGCUCGCGCUCUUCUCCCGCCUCCGCGCCGCCGGGAUCAGGCCCGACCUCAAGGCCUACAACGCCGCCAUCGCCGCCUACUGCAAGUCCGACCUGCUCCGCGAUGCCAAGCGCCUGCUGCUCCACGACGUCCCCGCCGACGGCGUCGCCCCCGACGCCGAGUCCUACGCCCCGGUCCUCGCCGCGCUCGCGCGCCGCGGCCGGCACCUCGCGGCGGUCUCGCUCUUCUCGCACAUGCGCGCCGUGGCGCGCGUCAAGCCCGACCUCUCGGUCUUCAACAUCGUGCUCAACGCGUACGGGCAGCUGGACCUCGCGCGCGACGCCGACCGGCUCUUCUGGUCCAUGCGCCGGGCCGGGGUGCCGCCGAGCGUCGUCACGUACAACACCAUGCUCCGCGUGUACGGCGACGCCGGGCUGUUCGGGGAGGCGGUCCACCUCUUCGGCCUCAUGUGCAGCACCGCCUCCGACGGCGGCGGCGGCAACAACGGCGCCGUCAGGCCCAACGUGGUGACGUACAACACCAUGAUCGCCAUCCACGGCAAGGCGCUGGAGGACGACAAGGCCGGGAGCCUUGUGCAGCAAAUGCAGGCCGGCGGCAUCCAGCCCAACGCCGUCACCUACUCCACCGUCCUGUCCAUCUGGGUCAAGGCCGGGAAGCUGGACCGCGCCGCCAAGCUCUUCGAGAAGCUGCGGGAGUCCGGCACGGAGAUGGACCCGGUGCUGUACCAGACGAUGGUGGUCGCAUACGAGCGCGCCGGGCUCGUUUCGCAGUCCAAGCGCCUGCUGCGCGAGCUCAGAGACCCGGACCAGGCCAUCCCCAAGGAGAGUGCCAUGAAGAUCCUGGCCAGCGCUGGGCGGGUGGAGGAGGCCGCGUGGCUGUUCCGCCGCGCGGUCCACACCGGCGAGGUCAAGGACCCGUCGGUGCACAGGGCGAUGAUGGGCCUGUUCGCCAAGAACAGGCGGCACCGCAGCGUGGUGGAGGUGUUCGACGAGAUGAGGAAGCUGGGCCACCUGCCGGACUCGGAGACGAUCGCGGUCACCAUGAACGCCUACGGCAAGCUCAAGGAGUUCGACAAGGCCGCGGGGCUGUACCGGGCGCUGAGGGAGGAAGGCUGCGUGUUCUCGGACAGGGUGCACUUCCAGAUGCUCAGCUUGCUCGGCGCUCAGCAGGACUUCGAGGCGCUGGAGCGGCUGGUCGGCGAGCUUGGCCAUGACCCCAGCAUCGACAAGAGGGAGCUCUAUCUCGUGUCCGCCGGCGUCUACGAGAGAGCGUACAGGUUUGAUGAGGCGGCACAGAUUAUCAGCCAGAUACGAAGUUCCAAUGAUUUUCGCGUCCAGAAACUCAGAUAA
rnacentral:rRNA from 1 species